rnacentral:lncRNA from 1 species
AUCAGCAGUAGAGAGCAUCACACGCACACCCCACUUCUGUAUGGCUUGCAAACUUUUGGAAGAAUCCUGGAAAGAAAGUGAAGGCCGGAUCCGCCACAAAGUUCUGUUGCACAGGGAAAGACACAGGAGGAAGGCGAAGAUGCGGGAGCCGGGAGGGUCCACUUCUCAGGAAAUUUGCACCCUCAAGAAGCUGAGAUUUUCACGGGCUGCUAAGAACUUUUUGGUUCAUUGGAUAUUUAUGCAUAGGAUUUCUUCUCAAAUGUCGCUGAUAUAAAGAAGCCCAAGCUGUGAUAAACUGAUGGCUGAAGAGGACUUGAAGUUCCUGCCAAGGCAAAGAGCACAGACUCCCAGCCCACAUUUCACUUUGGAAGUCUUUUGUGGUUUGACUGCACCUGGUAUUCUAGGCAGCCAGUCUUCCCAACAAUCAGACAAUCCAUGCUGUGGUAUGACCAUACUCAUUAAACCCCUCGUGCUAAUGACAUCAAAACUUGGUUCCUGCUAUCACUGUAUCCAUCUAUUUUCAGUUGGAAGGAUAUGUGAAACUGGACAGUUGGACAGUAUCAUCUUCUGCAUUUUAAAAGAAGUAAGGACAAGGAAAAGGGUUUCCAUGCAGCCAAAUGCACACUGGAAUGUGCACUGAAGUACAAUUUCCACCGAAAGCCCUUCCUUGAGUUCUUAAAGUGCAGAACAAUUUCAAAUGUGAAUGAUUUUUCCAGAUUAAAUUACAGGUAACAUCAGGAUAUCUUUUUUUUUGGGGGGGGGGGAACAUGCAAUCUUAUGAGAAUAAUGGAAAGACUCCCUUAUGGUAAUACUUGGUGAUACUUUUACUGCGUUUCUUUAUAUGCUUGUAUAUGAUUAGUUACAUGAAUAUGUGACAGAAACUGAAAGCUAUAGUCUGAAGAAAUUGAGUGUUUAAAGCAAACUUUAAGAAUUCUGGAAAUCUGAGGUAGAAGAAUGCGAAAGCAAAUGCUUUGAAAGUACUCCAUGACAGGGCAAAGUAAACGGAAGUGUUAAAUCUGGAGAGGGGCUGGAAAGAGGUGGGGAACCGAGGAGAAAGGAAAUGUACAGCACAACUGUGUGCAUGUUUACUUGGAAAUAAGUCCCCAUCUUCAACAGGACUUACUCCCAGAAAAGCGUGAUAGGAGUGAGCUAGACCCAUUUUUUGAGCUGCAAUCCUAAACUAGGUCUGCAUACAUUACGAUUUACCAAGCCAAAUACAGCCUGCUAGUUGUGCAUUGUGCCUGACAACUGUUUCUGCAAUCCCAGGCAACUCUUGUUUGCGAGCCAUGCUUAACUUGGUGGGUCACAACUUUGCAAGCUUGAUAUAGUGCUGAAAAUCUAGAAGAAUAAGAAUAUGAAAGUUUUUUAAAAAGAUUUUAAAAAAACAAAAAGCAAAGUACGUAUCUGUGCUGCAUUAACUGUAAGGGGAAGUAGCUCACACAUUAUGUUUUUAUUUAUUCAACCUGGUAAGAAUAAAUUCAAAAGGCUGAGUUUUAACCCCUAAUCAAAAUGCAUUUUUGCAGUUAUUCUCCACCCCCAUGAAGUUAUCUCCUGCUGAAUACAGUUUUGCCUCCCUUUUGAUCUCUCCCUCCUGUUUGUUUCAUCAUCACUAGGACUUAUAAUUGACCUGUGCACAAUUUAACACUCUUGCCUGUAUCUCUGCUGCCACAUUUGAUUUUUUAAUGUUGCUUUUGACCUAUUAUUAAGUUUGCCUCUUACUUCUAUCUCAGUCAUCACUGCAAAAGGCCACAUGUUAAUAAUAAAAGGUGGGGGACAAGGCAAAACAAAAAAAUUACGACAUGUAAUGCACAAAUAAAGUCAUUUGGCUCUUUAGGAGAGAAUGUGCUGUAUGUAGGCUUGGCAUAUGUCAGGAAAAUUCCUGACAUAUCUUUGUUAUCGGGUGUAAAAAUGGCAUCGGGGAAUUUUGCUGAAUUGGCAAAAUGUCAGGGAAAACCCGGAUGUAUGGCAACGCGAUGGAAAAGCAGUGGAAAUAGCUCAAAAAGCUUAAAAUCAAAAAGCUUAGGUUUCCCCCCAAAAAAGCUUAACAAUUUUGGUGGGUAUCAGGAAUUUUACUUUUUGAAAUAAGGCAACUCUAGGUGUAUGUUUUGGUAACACCCCCACUGUUUUGCUAGCAAGUUCAGUCUCUGUAUUGGGGAAAGAAGACUGGUUUUUUAAAAAAUUCAUCCCCCCCGCCCAAUCUUGGUCAUUCUAGUGAGGUUGCCAAAAUUUAGAGUAGCUGUAAUUACAUUUUCUAUUGAUGUUUAACUUACUUUUACUCUUGGAAACUGACAUCCUUAGUUGAUUUUUAUUCAGACAAAGUUUUCCCUGAAGGAAUAUGGAGAACAUACACAUAAAAGAGUUUGGCCUUUGAACACUUUUUCGUUUUCCACAUUAAAAGUUAAAAAUAUAAAACGUCCAUGAUCACUGAAAGCAGUAGAGGCGGCAGUAUACAUUGGCCACUGUUGACUGAAGAAAGCCAACCCA